AACGAACGCUGGCGGCAUGCCUAACACAUGCAAGUCGAACGAGACCUUCGGGUCUAGUGGCGCACGGGUGCGUAACGCGUGGGAACCUGCCCUUAGGUUCGGAAUAACUCCCCGAAAGGGGUGCUAAUACCGGAUAAUGUCUUCGGACCAAAGAUUUAUCGCCUCUGGAUGGGCCCGCGUUGGAUUAGCUAGUUGGUAGGGUAAAAGCCUACCAAGGCGACGAUCCAUAGCUGGUCUGAGAGGAUGAUCAGCCACACUGGGACUGAGACACGGCCCAGACUCCUACGGGAGGUAGCAGUGGGGAAUAUUGGACAAUGGGCGAAAGCCUGAUCCAGCAAUGCCGCGUGAGUGAUGAAGGCCUUAGGGUUGUAAAGCUCUUUUACCCGGGAUGAUAAUGACAGUACCGGGAGAAUAAGCUCCGGCUAACUCCGUG
rnacentral:rRNA from 1 species